rnacentral:ncRNA from 2 species
ACAGGCGGUGGAGAUGGCAUUCCUCCCUUAACCGCUGCCUUGCAGCUAAUGAUGCCUACGAUAAC